AUAGUUACCUGGCAGGGGUGAUUCCAUGAUCACGAAGGUGGUUUCCCCAGGGCGAGGCUUAUCCAUUGCACUCCGGAUGGGCUGACCGCUGCGAUUUCCCCAAAUGCGGGAAACUUGACUGCAUAAUUUGUGGUAGUAGGGGACUGUGUUCACCCUCUUCCCUA
rnacentral:snRNA from 1 species